GACGAACGCUGGCGGCGUGCUUAACACAUGCAAGUCGAGCGGUAAGGCCUUUCGGGGUACACGAGCGGCGAACGGGUGCGUAACACGUGGGUGAUCUGCCCUGCACUUCGGGAUAAGCCUGGGAAACUGGGUCUAAUACCGGAUAUGACCUCCUAUCGCAUGGUGGGUGGUGGAAAGAUUUAUCGGUGCAGGAUGGGCCCGCGGCCUAUCAGCUUGUUGGUGGGGUAAUGGCCUACCAAGGCGACGACGGGUAGCCGACCUGAGAGGGUGACCGGCCACACUGGGACUGAGACACGGCCCAGACUCCUACGGGAGGCAGCAGUGGGGAAUAUUGCACAAUGGGCGAAAGCCUGAUGCAGCGACGCCGCGUGAGGGAUGACGGCCUUCGGGUUGUAAACCUCUUUCAGCAGGGACGAAGCGCAAGUGACGGUACCUGCAGAAGAAGCACCGGCUAACUACGUG
rnacentral:rRNA from 1 species